rnacentral:rRNA from 1 species
GUCCAGACUCCUACGGGAGGCAGCAGUGGGGGAUAUUGCACAAUGGGGGGAACCCUGAUGCAGCGACGCCGCGUGGGUGAAGGAGCACCUCGGUGCGUAAAGCCCUAUCGGCAGGGAAGAAAAGCGAACAGGUUCGCCUGGACGGUACCUGACUAAGAAGCCCCGGCUAACUCCGGGCCAGCAGCCGCGGUAAUACGUAGGGGGCAAGCGUUAUCCGGAUUCCCUGGGUGUAAAGGGAGCGUAGACGGCGACGCAAGUCUGGAGUGAAAGCCCGGGGCCCAACCCCGGGACUGCUCUGGAAACUGCGUCGCUGGAGUACGGGAGGGGCAGGCGGAAUUCCUGGUGUAGCGGUGAAAUGCGUAGAUAUUAGGAGGAACACCAGUGGCGAAGGCGGCCUGCUGGGCUUUUACUGACGCUGAGGCUCGAAAGUGUGGGGAGCAAGCAGGAUUAGAUACCCGCGUAUUA